GAGUAAUGUCUGGGAAACUGCCUGAUGGAGGGGGAUAACUACUGGAAACGGUAGCUAAUACCGCAUAACGUCGCAAGACCAAAGAGGGGGACCUUCGGGCCUCUUGCCAUCAGAUGUGCCCAGAUGGGAUUAGCUAGUAGGUGGGGUAAUGGCUCACCUAGGCGACGAUCCCUAGCUGGUCUGAGAGGAUGACCAGCCACACUGGAACUGAGACACGGUCCAGACUCCUACGGGAGGCAGCAGUGGGGAAUAUUGCACAAUGGGCGCAAGCCUGAUGCAGCCAUGCCGCGUGUGUGAAGAAGGCCUUCGGGUUGUAAAGCACUUUCAGCGAGGAGGAAGGUGGUGAACUUAAUACGUUCAUCAAUUGACGUUACUCGCAGAAGAAGCACCGGCUAACUCCGUGCCAGCAGCCGCGGUAAUACGGAGGGUGCAAGCGUUAAUCGGAAUUACUGGGCGUAAAGCGCACGCAGGCGGUUUGUUAAGUCAGAUGUGAAAUCCCCGGGCUCAACCUGGGAACUGCAUUUGAAACUGGCAAGCUAGAGUCUCGUAGAGGGGGGUAGAAUUCCAGGUGUAGCGGUGAAAUGCGUAGAGAUCUGGAGGAAUACCGGUGGCGAAGGCGGCCCCUUGGACGAAGACUGACGCUCAGGUGCGAAAGCGUGGGGAGCAAACAGGAUUA
rnacentral:rRNA from 1 species